AUUGAACGCUGGCGGCAGGCCUUACACAUGCAAGUCGAGCGGAGCGGCGGACGAGUGAGUAAUGCCUAGGAAUCUGCCCGGUAGCGGAGGAUAACGUCCGGAAACGGGCGCUAAUACCGCAUACUAUGAGAUGAGCCUAUGUCGGAUUAGCUAGUGGGUGGGGUAAAGGCCUACAAAGGCGACGAUCCGUAACUGGUCUGAGAGGAUGAUCAGUCACACUGGAACUGAGACACGGUCCAGACUCCUACGUGAGGCAGCAGUGGGGAAUUUUGGACAAUGGGUGAAACCCUGAUCCAGCCAUCCCGCGUGUAUGAUGAAGGCCUUCGGGUUGUAAAGUACUUUUGGCAGAGAAGCGGUAUCUGCAGAAUAAGCACCGGCUAACUACGUGCCAGCAGCCGCGGUAAUUC
rnacentral:rRNA from 1 species